ensembl:lncRNA
AAAGAAGUGUUAAAAAAAUGUUUGUAGCAGCUUUAUUCAUAAUUGCCAGAAACUGGAAACAACUCCAAUGUCUCUCAGCUGAUGCAAGGAAAAACAAAUCGUGAUACGUCCAUGCACUAGAAUACUACCCAGAGAUAAAGAGAAACACGCUUCUGAUACACAGAAUGUAUGUAACGUUACACUAAAUGGAAGAAGCCGGACUGUGUAAUUAUAUGAUCUAUUUAUCUAGAAAAGGCAAGCUGUAGUGAGGGAGAGCAGUCAGGGGUGGCCUGAGGAUGGAGGACGGGAGAUGAGAGCACAGAGAGACCCCCGACGAGGCACAGGGGUGCUUUCCAGGGAUGGAAACAUCCUGUGUCUUGAAUGUGGCUGUGGCUACAUGACCAUACGCGGGCGUCACAACACUCACUGAGUUGUUCACCAAAGAUAGGUGAGUUUUAUUUUAUGGAAGUUAUAUGAUGUUUUUUUUUCUAAAACUCUCUACAGCUUUUCAAAUGAAAAUUAUGAAACAUAUACCCAAUGGGCUCCUUGCUUCUCUAUUGACCGCCUUAGGUGACUGCAGAAAGUGGCGUAGGGCAAGUUGUUGGCGGCUGCAUGGAGGCAGCUGGCGAACUGAAGUCCUCCCAGCUCUCUCCAGUCAUGAUGCGAAGGGGAGGAGUAUCCUUACGGAAGCCGGCCUCCAGCUGGAAGCUCCAGGGCACGGGCUGCGAAGGGCUGGCGAAGCUUGCUGCAAAGUGCGGGUCACACAUCAUGAAGCCAAACCCCAGAAGAGAUAGGAUCCCAAGGACAUCAACCUCCCGAGGUCUGAGCUUCUUAGAGGGACUGAUGAAUCCAGCCAUCUGCAGGCCACUUCUAGAGAAAUAGCUGCGUCCAGGUGUCACAGGAUUUGCAUGCCCCCCGCCCCACAUCGUCCCCAGUUCUUGGUCGCUCCGCGUGGAAGAGUGAAGAGGUGGAUCAGACCACGAGUGUGGUCAACAAAGUCUAUUGAGCAGAAGUAUAAACCUCCCAGGGAGGGAGGGGGGCCUCAGGGGAUUGCCCCCUUGGGUAUCUAAGUCUAGGGAUUUUUAUGAGCUCUUUUGCGGAAUUUUCUUAAGCAACCAGGGUGUGCUGAGUCGCACCAAUCAGGGCUUAUGGUCACAUACCUGUCUACCUAUGAGGUUUAUGUCAAGGUGCUGAUGGUCUUUUUCUGCUGUCAUUGGGGGGCUUACGUCUUCACAGCCCCUUGCCCGUGAUAUUACAAAUGCUUUAUGGUUAAUUGUCUUAUUUUAGGAUGUUUUGCAGAAGUCGUCUCCACAAGGGCUGCAAAGCAAAGUGUGAGUGCGGCCCUGUCUCAGCUGCAGAACAGGAUGUCGGGGCUGUUUCAUCUUAGCUCUCCUGACUCCGUAUUUUCUUGCUGGGGACCCCGGCUCUGACUCCCUAACUGUCCACCUACCUCCUAACACAAGCACCGGGCUGUAUUUCAGCUGUAAACAUGCUUUAUUUUCAAAAUAGAUGCAAGCAUUUUUGAUCAAUAUAGGCUGCAUCCAGAAGAGCGUCAGCAACAAGAGGGCUUCCUGGUGACAGGUUUUAAGACAUCAGAGGCACAGUUUUAAGUUUUAAGACAGUUUUAAGACAUGUAGGAGGCACAAGGCAGAGAAGAGAAAAAUAAAAAAUAAAAAAAACCAAUUCGGGGAAAGAGC